rnacentral:rRNA from 1 species
UACGUAGGGUGCGAGCGUUAAUCGGAAUUACUGGGCGUAAAGCGUGCGCAGGCGGUUCGUUAAGUCAGAUGUGAAAGCCCCGGGCUCAACCUGGGAACUGCAUUUGAAACUGGCGGGCUUGAGUGUGGCAGAGGGGGGUGGAAUUCCUGGUGUAGCGGUGAAAUGCGUAGAUAUCAGGAGGAACACCGGUGGUGUAGACGGCUUUCUGGACCGUAACUGACGCUGAGACACGAAAGCGUGGGUAGCAAACAGG